rnacentral:rRNA from 1 species
UUGUGCCUACGGGGGGCAGCAGUGAGGAAUAUUGGUCAAUGGCCGAAGGGCUGAACCAGCCAAGCCGCGUGAAGGAAUAAGGCCCUACGGGUCGUAAACUUCUUUAGUCAGGGAACAAAGGGUGCCACGCGUGGCGCUGUGAGUGUACCUGAAGAAUAAGCAUCGGCUAACUCCGUGCCAGCAGCCGCGGUAAUACGGAGGAUGCGAGCGUUAUCCGGAUUUAUUGGGUUUAAAGGGUGCGUAGGCGGAUUUUUAAGUCAGCGGUAAAAUGUCCGGGCUCAACCCGGGCCGGCCGUUGAAACUGG